rnacentral:misc_RNA from 1 species
UUGAUUUAUUUUUUGGUUACUCAGAAGAAACACAUGAUUAAAAUAGAGGUUUGGGGCCCUCGGCCACUGCCGAAACAGAGGCCGAAGCAACUUUGGUAUGUUCACAAUGGGUUAUGAGUUUGAAACUCGGUAAUGAUCCCUCCGCUGGUUCACCAACGGAGA